rfam:Cavia porcellus supercont2_69 genomic scaffold, whole genome shotgun sequence.
AAUGCUUCUCCGCCUUAUAGCUAGGAUCAAGCGUAGUAUCUGUUCUUAUCAGGUCUAAAUUUUAGGACAGAGAAAUAAACAGACUUGUUUAUCUUUAUCCAUAUUAUUUUUCACAGCUGAGGUUUUUUUUCCCUUGUGCCAGGAAUCAAACUCGGGACUUUUUGCACUUGCCAGGCAGGCACUUUAC